GACGAACGCUGGCGGCGUGCUUAACACAUGCAAGUCGAACGGAAAGGCCCUGCUUUUGUGGGGUGCUCGAGUGGCGAACGGGUGAGUAACACGUGAGUAACCUGCCCUUGACUUUGGGAUAACUUCAGGAAACUGGGGCUAAUACCGGAUAGGAGCUCCUGCUGCAUGGUGGGGGUUGGAAAGUUUCGGCGGGUGGGGAUGGACUCGCGGCUUAUCAGCUUGUUGGUGGGGUAGUGGCUUACCAAGGCUUUGACGGGUAGGCGGCCUGAGAGGUUGACCGGCCACAUUGGGACUGAGAUACGGCCCAGACUCCUUCGGGCGGCAGCAGUGGGGAAUAUUGCACAAUGGGCGGAAGCCUGAUGCAGCAACGCCGCGUGCGGGAUGACGGCCUUCGGGUUGUAAACCGCUUUCGCCUGUGACGAAGCGUGAGUGACGGUAAUGGGUAAAGAAGCACCGGCUAACUACGUG
rnacentral:rRNA from 1 species